GUCCGUCUUCGCCUAUCAGCCCCGGGUCUGAGCAGCCACAAGUCCCAGACGCCUGGGCCGCGGGAAUAAAUAAAGAAAUAAACAAACCCAGCGCUCUCUGGGGGAAAUGGGGGUGGCGAACAUCAGGCACAAAUAGAACCGAGAUCGAUUUUCUUAGGGAGGGGGAGGGGGGCUCUCGGCGAAGGGAGGUGGGAGCCAAUCUCAGCCCACGAUUGGGAAGAAAUCAAAUUGUUCCGAGGUGGAACGAAGUCCCUUGGAGGAGGCACGAGAGUCCUCUUAUUAUUUAAAAAUUAUUUUUUUCCGAGGAGCAGCUCUCGGCAAACGAAUAUCCAGGCGCCGCUCUAGCUGGUUAUGUUUGGGACGCGAUAACUCAGUGCCUGCUCGCAGACCUGCAUACAAGUAAUUACCGGGUUAUCGCGCAGGGGAAAUGAGACCAGGGCGUUGGAGGGAAGAAAGAGGGUCGUCCGCAAUGUAUCUUACUGAGAAAAAAGUCCAUUCUGCGGGAGCACCUCUAGCCGGGUCCGGGGACGCAACUCGUCCCAGCGCGGCCCGGCGGGGGCGGGGUGCGAGUAGGUGCAGGGGUCGGGGUAGAGGGGGUGAUUUCUGCACAGAAAAAGUGCAGCGACCGGGCCUGCAAAGGGUGAGGCGCUUUGUCUUGUUCUGGAUUAACGAUUAUCAUUAUUCUUGGUCUCCUCAAUGGGCAUAACUCCUAAGCGCCCCGUGGAGGGAUAUGCGCUCGAGCUUUGGCGCGCAGCUGGAAACGCGCUGGGUGCAGUCGGGAAACGUACUGCGUAGACGCCCCCGGCGGCGCCGAGGGAAGAGCUAGGCCUGCCCGUGAGCGAGCGAGCGAGCGAGCGAGCGUCGGGCCUUCGGCAAGGCCCCGGGCCUUGAGCGCCGCAGCGGGUCCCCCCUGGCCUCCUGGUGCUGGGUUUCUGGUCUUUGGGGGCAGCCUCGACAGAAGGAUCCGGAAGCAGGGGCCUCCAGACGCCUAGCUGCUGCCACGCCAUCACACCCGGAAAACCCUGGGGUGAAACUGACCAUGGCUUGUCGUGGGGUGCAACAGACAGAGGUUGGUGGCAAAGAAAAGUUCCUGGCGACCGUUUGGGGGGGGGGGCUUGUCUUCCUGGUCGCCAUGGCGACCCAGGAGUCCUGUCCAACACUCUCAACAAUGGGGCACCCGCAGGACCAUCGGGACGUUCCGAGGUCUUCGAGGUUCUUCUCCCACCCAUCACUCUGGGGCUCUUGGCUUUCCAGAGCCUCCUCCACAGAUUCAACACGGCAGGGAUUGAAAAACCACCCCCUUUUGGAAACGGAGGAGAAAAUCGAGAUUUAGUGCCGUCUCUGCGGGUGGGCCCAGGUCUGGAGCAAAAGCCCCCACUUGGAGUUGACCACCGUGACCUCCGAGGGGUGCGUACAGGGAUGCUUUCGCCCAAGCCCGCAAGCCCGGAUUUUCAGCCAGCGGCCUGGGACCGGGUCAGCGACCAGGAGUGCUGAGUCUCUGUCUCUUCACAUAUACUAUUCACCCCGAACUCUGCUUUUGAGGCUCCCCGCAUACAUGCACACCACCCUUUCGCCUGCCUGGAUUAAGGUCUCAGUGGAAGGAGGAAAGUCAGGAACUAGAAAUUUGUGGCUUUCGUGUGGGCAAGGCCUUACUGAGAGAAAGAAUACAUUAUACUCCUUUUAGAGGGAACAUUUUCCAUUGUGGGUGUAAUAUAAACAACAUUAAAAUAGCA